GGAUGGAACUCUUUUGUAUUUUGAGUUAAUGCACGUUUUUUCUUCGCGCCAGCAAUGUUUAGAGCAUUCUGUGUAUUCAUCUUUUCUUUUUGGUUCGCCACGGUCCUUUUACCACUUUCACUUGCACCUGUGCAACAUUAAAAGGAGGUUAGCUAUCUGCAGACUGCAUCUUGUCUAUGGCAGAAUACCAAGAUAAAAAUUUCCUUCCAAGUCCCUGCCUCAUGACAAUGAUGACCAGAGGACCUGCAUUGCCAACAAAUCAUGCAAACAGGCCUGACAUUUGAGUAGUUCUCAUUAUGAUGUAAAAAUAUAUUAAUCAUUGUUGUCAUCCACUAGAGCAAAAAGGUGGCAGGACAUUUCUAAAUUAUAUAAAAUUUAUGUGAUGUCUCGCUGCGCUUUCUAUAAUAUCGUUAAAUUAUUAUUAUCAUGUUUUUUUGUUUGUUGGUUUUUUUGUUGGUUUUUUUUGGUCCUAGGAGGUCUCAUUUGUUAAUAAUUUGAAUAAAUUUUGGAAGAAUUCAUAAGAUGUAAAAACGCA